UUGAACGCUGGCGGAAUGCCUUACACAUGCAAGUCGAACGGCAGCACGGGAGCAAUCCUGGUGGCGAGUGGCGAACGGGUGAGUAAUACAUCGGAACGUGCCCAAUCGUGGGGGAUAACGUAGCGAAAGCUACGCUAAUACCGCAUACGAUCUACGGAUGAAAGCGGGGGAUCGCAAGACCUCGCGCGAAUGGAGCGGCCGAUGGCAGAUUAGGUAGUUGGGGGGUAAAGGCUCACCAAGCCUGCGAUCUGUAGCUGGUCUGAGAGGACGACCAGCCACACUGGGACUGAGACACGGCCCAGACUCCUACGGGAGGCAGCAGGUGGGAAUUUUGGACAAUGGGCGCAAGCCUGAUCCAGCCAUUCCGCGUGCAGGAUGAAGG
rnacentral:rRNA from 1 species